AACUGCAUUCCUGAACGUUAACCGGGAGCGGUAGCUGUCGCUUGGGAGGCAGGCAGUAUGACCCAGUGGCGAGGGCACGACAGCACAAAACAAGGAAACCUGGCAGUUAAUACCACCAGAAGAUGGAAUUUAUGCCUAUCAAGUUCAGCUUUGUAUUCCCAGCGAAUUCAGCAAGUAAC